rnacentral:rRNA from 1 species
UACGUAGGGGGCAAGCGUUGUCCGGAAUCAUUGGGCGUAAAGCGCGUGUAGGCGGUUCGGUAAGUCUGCUGUGAAAGUCCAGGGCUCAACCCUGGGAUGCCGGUGGAUACUGUCGGGCUUGAGUACGGAAGAGGCGAGUGGAAUUCCUGGUGUAGCGGUGAAAUGCGCAGAUAUCAGGAGGAACACCAAUUGCGAAGGCAGCUCGCUGGGACGUUACUGACGCUGAGACGCGAAAGCGUGGGGAGCAAACAGG